GACGAACGCUGGCGGCGUGGAUUAGGCAUGCAAGUCGAACGGUAUCAUCCUUUCGGGGGUGAGAGAGUGGCGAACUGGUGAGUAACACGUAGGUUAUCUACCCUCAAGACGGGGACAACCCAGGGAAACUUGGGCUAAUACCGGAUGUGAGCAACUUUUAGUUGUUUGAAAGGUGGCGUAAGCUGUCGCUUGGGGAUGAGCCUGCGUCCUAUUAGUUAGUUGGUGAGGUAACGGCUCACCUAGGCAAUGAUAGGUAGGCGGCCUUAACGGGUGGUCGCCCACACUGGGAUUGAGAUACGGCCCAGACUCCUACGGGAGGCAGCAGUCGAGAAUAGUCUACAAUGGUCGGAAGACUGAUAGUGCGACGCCGCGUGAACGAUGAAUCCCUUCGGGGUUAAAGUUCUUUUAUAUGUGAGCAGUGCUUCUUAUAUUAACAGUAUGGGGAAGAGAUAUUAGGCAUAUGAAUAAGCAACGGCUAACUCCGUGCCAGCAGCCGCGGUAAACUGU
rnacentral:rRNA from 1 species